AUAUCCCGUUGAAACACCAGUUCUCGUAUGACCACUGAAGUUAAGCAGCAUCGAGCCUGGUCAGUACCUAAAUGGGUGACCGUUUGAGAAUACGAGGCACUGUAAG